AUGUGAUCAUCGCGAAAACCUGUACGGCCGCAAAAUGUAAGGGAUUUCAUCAAUUUCAGGCCAAAUAUACGUGAAAUAGUACGCUCUUUGCGAUAAAAAGUGAUAUAAAGUGGUAAAAAACAAACUAAAGACAAAUGUUUUGUUAUGUGACCAAAUGGCAAAUGCUCUUCCAGAUGCAAGGAGUUUUAACCUGAUUGGUCCAUUCGUCUCGGUGUAAGAAGCAAGACAAAAUUUUUCUGUUUUUUAAAAAAGAACGGUUAAAAAACGACAAAUCACAAAAUGUUUCUUUUACGCGACCAACUGGAAGAAAUAUUCGACAAGAUGCCAGAGGUUUCACUCCGAUUCAUCAAGCCAUCUCGGCGUAAUCGGUGAACAGACAUUAAAAAAAUAUAUAUAUAUAUAUAUACAUGUCAAAUUGAGUAACCUCCUCCUUUUCGAAGUCCGUUAAAAAUUGACAGUUGCAAAGACAGAAUUUCAGCAAAUGUUGACGGAGGGCAUAACACAGCCAUCAAAGAGCCAAUGGGCGAGUCCAUUACAUAUGAUAAAGAAAAAUACUGGUGAAUGGAGGUUAUGCGGUGAUUAUAGGAGGCUAAACAGUGUUACAGUGCCAGAUAAGUACCCAUUACCACAUGUACAGGAUAUCGUCCAUGAUUUUGAUGGUACCACAGUAUUUUCAGUAAUAGAUUUGCGAAGAGCAUAUCAUCAGAUACGAAUGGCACCAGAGGACCAGCCUAAAACAGCAAUACAACCCCCUUUGGAUUGUACGAAUAUAUGCAUCAGAGAAUGUGAAGCAGCAUGACGCACAUCUGCGAGCAGUGUUCCAAAAGCUGGAAGAGCAUGGUCUAACCAUAAAUGUAUCAAAGUACCAAUUCGUACAGGAAAAAGUGCAAUAUUUAGGUUGUAGAAUUAACAAACUAGGUAUUGCUUCUUUGGAAAAAAGGGUUUCAGCGAUACAGACAUAUAUGCAAAACUAACCACAAUUAGUGAGGUAAGAAGAUUUUAGGUGUACUAAAUUAUCAUAGGAGAUUUUUUGCCAAUGCAGGGGAGAUUCUAGUACUGUUGAACCAAAUGCUCAAAGGAGCGAAGAAAAAAGAUAACAGGCCAGUCAAGUGAACAGAGAAUGCAGAAAAAGCCUUCGACAAAUGCAAGGAGUUAAUGGCAGCAGCUACAUUGUUGCAUUAUCCAGUAAAAGGAGUAAAAUUAGCACUCACAACAGAUGCUUCAAAUAUUGCGUUAGGAACAGUGCUGGAACAAUGGAAUCAAAACAGGUGGGAACCACUAGGGUUCUUUUCUAGUAAACUGAACAGAGCUCAAACAAGAUACAGCACAUACGAUAGAGAGUUGCUGACAAUUUAUAAAGGCAUCAAAUUUUUUAAACAUUGGAUAGAAGGUAGAGACCUUCUGAUCAGAACGGAUCAUAAACCCCUCGUGUAUGUCUUUCAGCAAAAAUCUGAUAAGCCAACACCGAGACAAUUACGUCAGUUAGACUUCAUUGGGCAGUAUACAACGAAUAUACAGCAUGUGACAGGAACGAUGAACAACAUUGCAGAUGCACUGUCACGGGUAGCAACUAUAAAUUUACCAGUUUUAGUUUCAACAGAAUAAUUAAUUGAAGAGCAGAAAACAGAUGAAGAACUGCAAAAUUUAAUAGGAAGACCAAAUCAAAUGGACAAAUGGGGUAUUAGAAAAAUUGCCAUCAGCGAUUCCAAUAAACAUAUAUAUGCUGACAUUUUUAACGAAACAGUCAGACCAUACAUACCUAAAGCCUUAAGGAAAAGGAUUUUCGAGGCUAUACACAAUUUGUCCCAUCCAGGAGGAAAAGCUACGAAGAAAAUUAUAGCAAAAAGCUUCAUGUGGCCACAAAUGAGAAAAGAUAUUACCAAUUGAGUGCGUUCUUGUUUAGAUUGCCAACGAGGGAAGGUUCACAGACACAAUAAAAAACAGCCACAGCAUAUUGAAGUUCUAACUGGAAGGUUUGAACAUAUACACGUGGAUAUUGUGGGACCCCUUUCACCAUCCAAAAAUUUUUGAUAUUGCUUGACUAUAAUAGAUAGGUUUACACGGUGGCCUGAAGCGAUCCCAUUAAAGGACAUAUCAGCUGAUUCAGUAGCAAUAGCAUUAUAUUAUAUUGGAUUACAAGAUUUGGAACGCCAAUAACAAUGGCCACAAACCAAGGUACUCAGUUUGAAUCCUUAUUAUUUAAAUCACUAACCAAAUUAUUGGGAUGCAAUAGAAACAGAACAACACCAUAUCACCCAGCAUCUAAUGGAUUAGUAAAAAGAUGGCACAGAUCAUUUAAAAGAGCCAUCAUAUGUCAUAAGGAUAAUGAGUGGACAGAAAUUUUGCCCACAGUACUUUUAGGUCUGAGAACGAGUUUUAAAGAGGAUAUUAAUGCAACAGCAACUGAGAUGAUAUAUGGAAGCAACAUACGCUUACCAGGAGAAUUGUUCGAGCAAGGCGAAAGAAGUGAACCAGAACAUUUUAUUAAUAAAUUCAGACAAUAUAUUAAGAGAAUUAAACCGAUUCCAACCGCUCACCAUUCCAGACGUAAGGUAUUCACUUAUAAAACGUUAUAUACAUGACACAUGUUUUUGUCAGAAUAGAUGCUGUUAAAAAAUCCAUUGGAUCCACCUUACGAAGGGCCAUUUCAAAUUCUAAAAGAUUAUCAGAUGAUGUAUUUCAAACUAAUUAUAAAAGAAAACCCACAAAUAUAUCCAUCAAGCGAUUAAAACCGGCGACGUGGGAAAAACAAGCGCAGAAGGAUCAAGAAGUACUGAACUUAGAACUAUGAAAUAGCAAUUGGUAUUGGGCAAUGGGUUCGGAGAGUAUCGCAAUAUCCCAAUAACACCACUGGAUUACUUCCAAGCACGCAUUCUGAGCAACGACAGACGAUUUCAACGAACAGAUUACUUGUUCUUUGCACUAUCUGUUGUUGAAUAUUACCGCGCAAAAGCGUCUCGGUAUCAUGUAGAAUGCGCCAAGGGGAACACACUCCAACUGAACUUAUAGAUACUAUUCACCUAACCAUGAGAAACAUACGAGGUUCGGCAUCAUAUUGGAGACGAUCGUGUUCCGAGUUAAUCGACAUGGUGCGAAGUCUUGGACCGCCGACAUGGUUUGCUACAUUUUCCUGCAACGAUCUGAAUUGGCCAGACAUGUUGAAAGCGUUCCUAAUAUCGGAAGGCCGUUCCUCCGAGGAGGCUGGAAACCUCACAUUCACAGAUCGAUUGAAAUUAGUUCAAAGAUACCCAGUAGUUGUAGCAAGACAAUUUACGGUACGCGUUAACGCGUUAAUGCAGUAUAUAAAGGGCACCCAAUGCCUAGGCGGCGUUGUUAUCGAUUAUUGGUAUAGAAUCGAAUUUCAAAACAGAGGGAGCCCGCAUUUGCACUUGCAUAUUUGAUGUGCAAACAUACCGGAUUUCCUAACCAGCGAAGGGGUCAAUGUUAUCGAGAAUGUUGUAUCGUGCUCAAUAGAAACCGCGGAACAAGAUACCGAUAAGCGAACGAACAAUGUGCCUAGGUCCUGACGACACACUUGCCAACAACGGAAGUUUCUGCGUACUGAAACGAACUGCGAACGAAAUAAU